GAUCAAGAUGGUGGCUGACCAGGACCUCUGACUUAUACAUCUCUGCUAUAGAGCUUAUGGGUUGCCCUAGUGUCUGAGUGAUU
ensembl:snoRNA